GCAUCUAAUGAUAUGAUAUCCAGUUCUGCAACUAACAUUAAAAUCAGAUUUUAUUCUACACAUCUUCAGCGUCCUCAGCUUCCAUUGGUUAGUUGUUUGAAACAUUUUCAAUAUACCGAACCAAUGUUGUAUAAGAAUACAUCCUGAUGUAGACAUUCCAUCAUCAGCAUCCGUGUAUCCUCCCACUCCUAGCUCUGUCCAUUCUCCAA
rnacentral:lncRNA from 1 species